UGGCGAACGGGUGAGUAACACGUGAGUAACCUGCCCCUGACUCUGGAAUAAGCGCUGGAAACGGCGUCUAAUACCGGAUACGAGACGCAACCGCAUGGUUAGUGUCUGGAAAGUUUUUCGGUCUGGGAUGGACUCGCGGCCUAUCAGCUUGUUGGUGAGGUAAUGGCUCACCAAGGCGAUGACGGGUAGCCGGCCUGAGAGGGCGACCGGCCACACUGGGACUGAGACACGGCCCAGACUCCUACGGGAGGCAGCAGUGGGGAAUAUUGCACAAUGGGCGAAAGCCUGAUGCAGCGACGCCGCGUGAGGGAUGACGGCCUUCGGGUUGUAAACCUCUUUCAGCAGGGAAGAAGCGAAAGUGACGGUACCUGCAGAAGAAGCACCGGCUAACUACGUGCCAGCAGCCGCGGUAAUACGUAGGGUGCGAGCGUUGUCCGGAAUUAUUGGGCGUAAAGAGCUUGUAGGCGGUUUGUCGCGUCUGCUGUGAAAAUCCGGGGCUCAACCCCGGACUUGCAGUGGGUACGGGCAGACUAGAGUGUGGUAGGGGAGACUGGAAUUCCUGGUGUAGCGGUGAAAUGCGCAGAUAUCAGGAGGAACACCGAUGGCGAAGGCAGGUCUCUGGGCCACUACUGACGCUGAGAAGCGAAAGCAUGGGGAGCGAACAGGAUUAGAUACCCUGGUAGUCCAUGCCGUAAACGUUGGGAACUAGGUGUGGGUCUCAUUCCACGAGAUCCGUGCCGCAGCUAACGCAUUAAGUUCCCCGCCUG
rnacentral:rRNA from 1 species